UGAGGCGAACUCCGCCGCCAAGAGAGUGAGGAGGAGGAGGAGGCGGCGAGGAGGAGGAGGAAGAGGAGGAGCGGAGUCAGAGCGCGGCGGCAGCGGCAGAGGCGGCCGCGGCGGAGACCAGCCCAGAGAGACCCCGAGCCCGCGGCAGAGGCGGCGGCUGAACGGGCGCGACCAGCCGAGCGAGAGGCGGCGGCCCGGCUCCUCUUCGUCCGGCGCCGAGCGGCCCGCGCCCGCACUCGGCCCGCGGAGACCCGCCUCCCGCCCGCCGGCCUCGUGAGCGACGCGCCGAGCCGGCGGCCGAGGAGCGGCGGCGGGUCGGGAGUGCGUCGGGCCGCGGGCGGAAAGUGCCUGCGGGGGCGGGGAGAGCGCGGUGAGCGCGCGGUCCGGCCGCCCCGGCGCCCGGCGCGGGAGCGGAGCGGAGCGGGACGCCGAGUCCGGAGCGGCCGGCUGCCGGGGCUCCCCGCCCCUCCCUCCUCUCCGGCGGCGGCGGCGGCGGGCGGAGUGAGCUGAGGAGCCUGGAAUAUGGUCGGGGAAAUGGAAACGAAGGAGAAGCCGAAGCCCACCCCAGAUUACCUGAUGCAGCUGAUGAACGACAAGAAGCUCAUGAGCAGCCUGCCCAACUUCUGCGGGAUCUUCAACCACCUCGAGCGGCUGCUGGACGAAGAAAUUAGCAGAGUACGGAAAGACAUGUACAAUGACACAUUAAAUGGCAGUACAGAGAAAAGGAGUGCAGAAUUGCCUGAUGCUGUGGGACCUAUUGUUCAGUUACAAGAGAAACUUUAUGUGCCUGUAAAAGAAUACCCAGAUUUUAAUUUCGUUGGGAGAAUCCUUGGACCUAGAGGACUUACUGCUAAACAGCUUGAAGCAGAAACAGGAUGUAAGAUAAUGGUCCGAGGCAAAGGCUCAAUGAGGGAUAAAAAGAAGGAGGAGCAAAAUCGAGGCAAGCCUAAUUGGGAGCAUCUCAAUGAAGAUUUACAUGUACUGAUCACUGUGGAAGAUGCUCAAAACAGAGCAGAGAUCAAACUGAAGAGAGCCGUUGAGGAGGUGAAGAAAUUACUGGUACCUGCAGCGGAGGGAGAAGACAGCCUGAAGAAGAUGCAGCUGAUGGAGCUUGCGAUUCUCAAUGGCACCUACAGAGAUGCCAACAUUAAAUCACCAGCCCUUGCCUUUUCUCUUGCAGCCACAGCCCAGGCCGCUCCAAGGGUUAUCACGGGGCCUGCGCCCGUUCUCCCGCCAGCUGCCCUGCGCACCCCUACGCCAGCUGGCCCUACCAUAAUGCCUUUGAUCAGACAGAUACAGACCGCUGUCAUGCCAAACGGAACUCCUCACCCAGCUGCUGCGAUAGUCCCUCCAGGGCCCGAAGCUGGUUUAAUCUACACGCCCUAUGAAUACCCCUACACGUUGGCGCCAGCUACAUCGAUCCUUGAGUACCCUAUUGAACCUAGCGGUGUAUUAGAGUGGAUUGAAAUGCCAGUCAUGCCUGAUAUUUCAGCCCAUUGACUUGCUGGAUGAAGGACUAGAGUACAGCAGCUGUUCUAACACGACCAGUCAAUGUGGAACAAACUGUUUCCGGGCUGCCCCUUUGUUUUACCAGACAGAAUUUGAAUUCUUUUUUCUUGAAUUGUAUAUGACCUUGGUGCUGCAUGCAUGUUGUUGACUUUUAGGACUUUGAUCUUUUAAGUUCUUUUUUUCCCAGCAUUAAUAUUGAUUUCUAAAAAUAUGAAAGUCUUUAAUGAACCCGGACACUAAGAUUUAAACUUGAAAAUUCAUUGUUCAAUUAAAAAAAGCCACGAUGCUCUGUAUGUUAUCUGUGUGUGUGCAUGCACUCAGGUGCCUUUUGUUUCAUGAGCAGAUACAUUUUAUUGUACAUGUUUUCUGUUUAUCUCUAAAUCAUUGUAAAAAGUAUUAUAGGUCAGAAUUAUACAAUAGAACUGUUUAUGAGAGGCCUGUUUCUGUUGCAUAUUUCUCAAAGCAUUUUUAAAAUAACAUGUAACCUAUAACCCCUUUACGUUUUCCUUUCUGUUAACGCUCUGUCCUGUGGCCCCAUGCCUGCUCCUUUCCCCCAGAGCUCCUCUCUGCUGCACGCACAGCGUCUGUUCGAGGAGUUUGACUGUUGCUUCCUGCAGGGCUGGCACUCUUAGCCACCAGCUGCUGUUCCAGCACUCUGAAUGCAAGAUCUCGCUGAUUUUGCCUCGUGGAAUUAUACUUACAUAAGAUUAGUUUUUCUAAAAUGAAAAAAGGGGUGAUGGACCAGUUUACUGCUUAGAAACAGCAAGAGGCACUGCAGUAAAAUUUCUCAUUUUAAAGCAAUGUGCUUUUGUUGUGUUGGAAAAUUUUUAUUUAUAAUACUUAAUUAUUAGACUGACAAAAUUGAAAGCAAAAUAUACAGAUACCUAUUGACAUUCAUAAGAUGAAUAAUAUUGAGUACUAAAUGACAAGAUUCCAUUAUCAAUUUUAUUUCUCGCUUUGCCACCUAAGCAGUAAAACAUGAUAUUGACCACUUGGAGAACUGAGAAAAUAUUUCAAAUUGCUGUGUUAUAAUAAAUUUGCACACAGAUAACAUGCAUGCUAUAUAUCAAGUCUCAUCAUAUUAUUUUAAAAUGAGCAGUGCCCUUCAAAACGGAUGCAGACAUGUGUGUUGGUGGUAGUGAGGAGAUUGGUAUUAGCAUCAGAUCUUCAUUGAUGACUAAUUUUUAAUUCCCUUCCUUUUAUCUUUAGGUAUGGCUUUCCCAACGAAAGGCUAAGAAUUCAAGAACGGUCUUAACUGAACCCUCAUCAGAUCUGAAUUUAACAAAUGCUUAGUCUCAGCAGCCUCCAGGGGGUGGGAGGGACGCUUAGCCUAGCAGUCAGUGACUGACUUGCACUUUUGCACACUGAUAGAAAGGAAAAGUAUGUUAUUAAUUGGUUUAGGCUGUAAUCUUACAAAGUAACGGUAAUUUAUAAAGGAGUGUAUAGUAGUAUACUGACUGCUACGUGUACUAUACUGUUUGCUUUACUAAUCACCUAAUUCAUUGCAGUUCAUACUUAUUGACUCAAAGUUUAGAACCACAAUCUGUAGGCUUUAAGAAUUGCUUUUAAACCUUCUUAAGUGAUAGACUCUGGAAGUGGUCUUAAGGUUAGCAAAUAAUUGUCAGUAUUAAACAUGGCAUUAUUUAAGUAGUCCUGCUGCAAGAAAGGCACUUCAGUGAAUAUGUGACUAGUAAAGCUUAACUAUGUUUGGAUCUAAUAGAGUUCAUGAAAUCUGUAACUUGGGAUUGUAAAUGAAUGGAUAAAAUAGGUUAAGGCCAAGAUUAUUGAAAUGAAUGCAAUAUUAAUAGAUGCAUAUAUACGCAACAUAUUAUGGUUAAUUUUAAGACUACUGUGCCUUAACAUGUUUCCUAAAAGAAAACUUUUGUAGUAAACAAACAUUUGAAAUCCAUUUUGAUAAACCUGCUGUUAAUGUUUGUUAUCUUUUCCCUUGUGAAUGUUCUCUAACUUUGUCUUGGUAAUUGCAAUUUAACUAGGUGCGGUGGCUACUAAAGUUCGAAGGCACGAUAUGCGUGUCCAUCCUUACCAAAGGAUUGUGACCGCAGACCGAGCCGCCACCGGCAACUAACCUAUGACCUUCUGACCUCUGAACUCUUCACCCAAUGAUGACCUGACCAUGCCUGCCUGCUGAUCAGUUAACUGGUAAUCGCCUUUGCUUGCCUGUCGUCAGUGCAGCGAGCUGAGGCACUUGUCCGUUCGUCUUACCAUCUAACCAAACAAAAGACAAAGAAAUUGUCCUCCAACUCAGCUUUUGUUUUUUUUCGGUUUUUUUUUUUUUUUUCUUUUUUCUGUUUGGGUGAAAGUGGUUCUAGAACCUGCACUGAAUAGUAGUAAAGCAAUAAGGCCCAAUUCAUCCCACAGCACUGAUCAUCUUUUAAUGUCCCACCCUAAGCGAACGGUAAGAAGGCCUCACUUCAGAAGGGGAGACAGAUGGCCCUUAACUACUCAGUGACAGAGGCAGUUACUGUGAGAGACUUCUAGGAAUCUUUUCUUCUCAUAGCGAGUCAAAGCUCUCUGAAUGUACUGUGUGAUGAUGCAUCAUGCAUGAACCUUUGGUCAGGGAUGUCAUUGGUGAAGUGAUUUCAAAAAGUAUUCAAAAUUUGAUAUGCUCUUUAGUCACUACAGUGCCCUCAAAGGGCAGAAGUUGCAGCCUUUUUUAUAUUGCCUGCCAAAAUUUGAAGUAUUAGAAGUGUGCCAUGAGAGAAAAACUUAAGGAAUUUUGAAAAGUAAUGCAAAGAACAAAACUGCAACACUAUUUUUAAAAAGAUAAAUAUCUGAGUUAAAAUGACUGAACCUUUAUUUUACACCUCCUUUAAAAAAUACACAAGAACAAGGUACAUGCAUUAUGUGUCACAUUACUGGGCAAACUGUUCAAAUAUUUUUUUUAAACCUCCCUGUAUAGAAAAAAAUCAUUAAGGAUGUAAAAGCCAUGCUUGCCUAUUUGCUGUAUACAUGUAAUGAAAUUGUAGAUAAAGUGUAGUGCAUUGAAACAAAUGAACAAAAAGUAGAUACUUUUACUAUACAAGGGUGCUGGUGCAGAAAAAAUAUAUAUUUUUGGAAAUGUAGCAUUUUAUACUUUCAAGUGUUAUAAAAAAAAAAAAGAACAAAGAAACCCUUUAUUUCAUGAAAUGAUUUUUUCUGGUGGUUGUCAAGAAACAAAAGACCAAAAGAGCCUUUUUGUCUUUUUUUUAUUUUUUAAGUAUUGGAAUAAGUCUAAAGAAAAGAAAGUGCCUUAUUUUCCUUCAUGGUCAUUUAGUCAACUGUCCUGUAAGAUCAGCUCCUCCCUCAGAAUACAAGUUAAUGCAUGUUACUCAGUCGCCCAGUAUGUGAAAGAAGAUGUGAGGGGAGACAAAUGAGUUGAUGGUUUGAAUUAUAUGAUUUUUGCCACGUUACCUUGAUAUAAAUUUGCCAAAUCUGAUACUGUGAAAAAAUUUGAUAACUUUUCUGAUGCCUAGCAAGUAAGGUUUAAAGCAUUCUUUUAAAAUCAUAAUUGCGUGCUUUUGGUUAUUGCGAUAUUUAAUGUUAGUCCAAAGGAUUCUGAAAUAAAAAUUAUGUGUGAUCUGAACACCACUUUACAGACAAAAUUAGAGCUCUAUUUUGUUGGGGGGGGGAGGGGUAUUGGAUUUUUGUAUUAUUAAUUGGAGGCAAUAAUAUUAUAUUAGCAACCUUUUUCACAAAAACGAAUCUUUCUGCUUUUCACUCUGGAAAACAAGGUUUUUAAAUGAACCAAAUUUAAUCGGACUUGUUUCUACCAAAGCAGAUCACUGGGUAGUCCAUCUCUGCUGGUUUUAGUAACCUAAGCCAACAACGCCCCCUUUUUAACUUUAAAAGAAUGUGAAAAACUAGCAUCAUUGUGCAUAUAAUACUCAACUACAUGUGAGUUUAAACUUCCAGUUUCUUACGAAGUUCAGUUUUGUAGUUGAAGCGAUUUGUGCACAAAGCCGACAUCUAAACUCUUAAGUAAUCAUUAACUGCUCAGUACCAGACGUGGCAGAUAUCAGGUGGCGGUGGCUCCCCAGCUCGUCAGCUCCUUCCCUCUUACACACCUUCACAGCUUCACAGUCAAAGGUCAGCAGUAAGCUCAGUAAGCACCUUUGUGGUGACCUCCUCCAUCAUCUUGUCUCACUUGGAAACCGUUUUCAGUUUAUUUACUAUGCAAUAGACAUUCAUUGUUCUGUAUUCAGCUAGCUUUAGUUUAACAUGCCACUGCUUUGUCUUUCUGUUACACAUACAGUUGUUUUGAUUUAUUUACAAUAUAUGCUGUGCCAUUUUGAUUUUUAUUUUGUUCGGUUGGUUGAAUAAAUUUGCGACACUCAAACACUUGAGGUGAUAGUUUAAAAAUGAUACCAGUAUUUGAUCUAGUUUCAUCUCAACUAUGUUAUACCUGGACAUUUUAGAUGUUUAUCAAAGGUCUUUUAUGGGGAAGAAAGUAAAUGUUUGAAAUAAACGUGUGACAUUUAUGAGUAAUGUUGGCUCUGAACAAACGUUUGAAAACUUAGUUGACAAACUUUUGGAUCAACUGAAAAAAAGCAUGACUUUUGAAAUCUCUGAAUGCCUUGGUUCUCAGUAUUAUCAUUCUUUAUUGAAUUUAUUUCUUAUUAAAAUAUGUAGUUUUUAAGACUUUUUUUUUCUGACAGUAUUAUGUAAUUUUUUAGUGCGGGUAGAUGGGAGUGUCGCUUGUAUGUUACCGUACAGCUGACAUGUAUUUUUGUCUAUUCUUUAUUAUCUCAGUAGUUUCAUGCUAUCUAUGUAUCAUAACCAACCUAUUGCCUAUGAGAAACAUGUAAGAUAAUGUAUUUACAGCCAUUGUUACAAGUUUAUAAUGUAUUUUUCUAUCUUGUUUUAUAUGUAUGUUAUAUAACAUUCAAAAAGAAUUUUUUUCUUGAUUGAGAAAAGGAUACAAAAAUGCAAAAUCCACAAUUUUGAUAACUGAAAAUUGCCAAUUGUUUUGCAGUACUUUAUUAUAUUGGGUGUCUUGUCUUUCUUGGGCUUUUAGUUAGCUAAUGAAUGAAUACAUUAGACACUUUCGGGUUUUAGUUGGGAUUUUACAUAGCUUGCAUUUUAAUUCUUUGGUUCUUUGCUGUUUCUAUUAACCCAUAGCAUUAUUUUAAUAAAUGUUAUAAUACCAACCUACUAACUCUGGACUAUGUCUGUUUAUUAACCUUUACGUGUUUAAUUAAAAUAAACAAAUAAAGACAAAGGAAUGUAAAGUCUUGAAUUCCUGGACUAACCCUGAAGAACGUGACCACAGAUAACAUAGUCAUAACGUGACUUGUUUUUAUGUUGUUUGUCAGCUGACAAUUCCGCACACUACUGUUAAAAUGGCUUUGGUUAUUCUGGGCUUUUACUUCGGGGUGGGGGGGUAGGUAGGUGCCAAUAGAGAUGGGAACAAAGUAGUGUUGGUUUGAGGCGUUCUUCUAGUCUUGCCACUUGCCUUUCAACCUCUGCAUUACUAAUUCCACAAUUUCUUAUUUUUCCUUCUCCAAAAUAAUCACUGUCUGCUCACAGCAUAAAGAGUAAAGAGAUUCGUCAUAAUGAUAUACCCAAGAAACCAGUUUGAUUCUUUGUUGAACCAUUUUUUGAAAUUUCUAUAAGUAGAUAAUUUUAUGGUCACAUAAAGCAAGGAAUCUGAUGUCUUACCUUUAUUCAGAUUUGUGUUUUAAUUGGACAUUUUUCCUUUAUAAAGACGUUUUGAACUGUUUUAGCCAGCUGCUCCUGUUAGAGGGGCUAAACACAGGUAAAGCCAAAGGUAGAGUGGCUCUGUGUCUCAGGACAGUCCAGAGUAAGCCGUUCACAACAACCACAAACCCGCCUCUCCUCGUGGAACCCUCAGCAGGAGGUCAAACAGCGUCACUCAGCUUUAUGUCUCACCCUGUUAAAAAUACAGUCAGAAUACAUUAAUAUAAGAAGUUUAAGGGAGAAGAAAUAGCAUUUGAAAAGUUAUAUAUAUCAUGAUUUUGCAUGCAGGUCAAUUUAAGAAGAUCUAUUAAAUAUCUUCAUGCUUUCCUUGGCUGCAACCUAGGUAAAUUGACCUCUACUUAUCAAUUCUUUAGUGUAACUCUUGAGGUGCAUUUUUAUUUCACAGAUAUUGGUAUUUCCUGUUCUGUGAAAUAGUUCUCCUGGAUAAUAAAAUUUCUCAGGAUGAAUUUUUGCAUUUGUAAAUAAUGCUUAUUUUUGUAAAUUACAUUUUAUUUAUUUUAAAGUUCUAAAAUUUGGGGCUAAAAUGAGUCACAUGUUACAGAAGACAUAACACCAAUAUGCUAUUAACCAAUCAAAGUACUACCAUAGUAUAUAUACAUACAUGAAAUACAUAGAAUAGCGAGAGCAUCUGAUUUAAUCAUAGUUGAGAUGGUUCUUUGGAUCAAACAAAUAUAUUGUUUCUCCAGUGGGGGGGGGGAUGCAUUAUUAUUAGGUAGAGCUUUACUAUGCUACUCUGUAAAAGUUCACAUUGCCAUACAGCUAAUAUAUAUUCUGUAAAAAUCUGAAGAUGUCAUUCAAGCUGCUAAUAUGCAAGUCAUCAUGGCACCAUGUCACUGAAAUUGAAGAAGAAUUUCUAUACAGUUUAUUCCACAUUUUCUGAAGCCUGUGAAUGCAGUCUCAUCUCAUUUUCAGUUAAGAGUACUACUUUUAUGUAUAAUUAUGUCACAUUGCCACCUUUUAUGUUGUAAAAGUCCAUUUUUAAAAGACAGAAAUAACAUUACAAAACCCACUUUUAUACAGGCUGUAAUAGUAUAAAAAAUGGAAUCACCGAGUUGUUAGAAUGAUAAAAUGCCAGAGGCAGUUUAUUGUUUUAUGCUACUAGUACUUGACAAAGCAAUUGAAAGUUAAGCUUUCAGUCGAGAAGUUGGUGAAAUUAAUGUACUUAGUAGUCAAGCAUUUUUUUCUUAGGCAAAAUGUCAGGAAAAAUGUAGUAUGAAAGUCGAUAUUCACAUACACCUACUCUGUAGGGCAGAGUCCACCUAAAAGGGCAGUUGAAGCACCCUGUCCAUAAAGCCAAGAUGUGCAUAUGUUUACACAAGAUAGGAGGUGGUUAAGUUUCUAAAAUACUGGAUAAAUAUGAAGGAUCUAAAUUUUCUAGUACACCAAAAGCGGACAACAGGUUUAAAUUGCUCAUUACCAAAUCAAUCUUUUUUUUUUUUUACCAGCUAAGUCUAACACUUUUAUAAAUGGCAGUCUAAGGCUUCUCCAGUUUGGGGGGAGGGGGAGGGGUUUGUUUGUGUGUUUGGAAUAAGAUGUCUGUCAUUCCUUGAUAACAAUUAGCAAUUGUAGCAUUUCCAGCAAGUCAUUUUUAGUAGAAAGAAAUGUAUUGCUAAAUUACAAUCCAUUAUUUAAUAGCAGAAAUCACCCAGAAAACUUUUUGGACUCAAACUUUCUAAGUACAUAAGGUAAUUGUUAAACAUUGUCACAAGUUUCUUAAUACCUUUAUUUAAAAUGGAAAAAUAAUUCAUAUUAUAGACAAUUUUACUUUUAGAAAUAUUCAUUUGGUACACACAUGUAAUUUUAUCUGUGGUUUUUUUUAACAUAACAUUAUCUAAGUUGAACUGCCUUUGCUAUGAAGAGAUGUAACAAAAUUAUAUGCCUACCUGGUACUCAAUGCUGAAUCAAACUGGUUCACCUAAGCGUAGUACUCUCCUUUCUGUGUUUCUGCUGCACUAAUUGCAGGGGGUGGGAGAGGAGGAGGAAGAAUUAAUUCUCAGGAGAAGUAGUUGGUAGGUGCAGCAAACAGCAACACAACGUGGAUUUCUCAUUGCUUACAGUUUUGCUGUCCCUUCGUGGCAAAAGACACCACAUUGUGGGGAAAAGCACAGCUCCCAUGGUAAAAAAUUUAUACCUUUUUUAAAAAUGCUAUUAUCGAGAAAUUUUGAUUACCAAAUAUAUCUUUUGUGGUUUAUAUUGUAGUGGUGUGUAUAAAACACUUAGAAUUUUAUUUGUGGAAAUUGUACAUAGAAAAGUUGAAAUAGGUCUUCCCAAAUCCUAUGUGAAUGGAGAACCACGUUAAGACUGUACAUGACGUGCAAUAAACCAACUGGAAAAAGUG